rnacentral:rRNA from 1 species
AGAACGAACGCUGGCGGCAUGCCUAAUACAUGCAAGUCGAACGAACACUUCGGUGUUAGUGGCGCACGGGUGCGUAACGCGUGGGAAUCUGCCCUUGGGUUCGGAAUAACAGUUGGAAACGACUGCUAAUACCGGAUGAUAUCGAAAGAUCAAAGAUUUAUCGCCCAGGGAUGAGCCCGCGUAGGAUUAGCUAGUUGGUGAGGUAAAGGCUCACCAAGGCGACGAUCCUUAGCUGGUCUGAGAGGAUGAUCAGCCACACUGGGACUGAGACACGGCCCAGACUCCGUACGGGAGCAGCAGUAGGGAAUAUAGGACAAGUGGGCGCAAGCCUGGACUCGAGACAAGUGCCGCGUAGAGU